AACUUUCAACAACGGAUCUCUUGGCUCUGGCAUCGAUGAAGAACGCAGCGAAAUGCGAUAAGUAAUGUGAAUUGCAGAAUUCAGUGAAUCAUCGAAUCUUUGAACGCACAUUGCGCCCGCCAGCAUUCUGGCGGGCAUGCCUGUUC
rnacentral:rRNA from 2 species